GAUGAACGCUGGCGGCGUGCCUAAUACAUGCAAGUCGAGCGAACAGACGAGGAGCUUGCUCCUCUGACGUUAGCGGCGGACGGGUGAGUAACACGUGGAUAACCUACCUAUAAGACUGGGAUAACUUCGGGAAACCGGAGCUAAUACCGGAUAAUAUAUUGAACCGCAUGGUUCAAUAGUGAAAGACGGUUUUGCUGUCACUUAUAGAUGGAUCCGCGCCGCAUUAGCUAGUUGGUAAGGUAACGGCUUACCAAGGCAACGAUGCGUAGCCGACCUGAGAGGGUGAUCGGCCACACUGGAACUGAGACACGGUCCAGACUCCUACGGGAGGCAGCAGUAGGGAAUCUUCCGCAAUGGGCGAAAGCUUGACGGAGCAACGCCGCGUGAGUGAUGAAGGUCUUCGGAUCGUAAAACUCUGUUAUUAGGGAAGAACAAAUGUGUAAGUAACUAUGCACGUCUGGACGGUACCUAAUCAGAAAGCCACGGCUAACUACGG
rnacentral:rRNA from 1 species